UACGGAGGGUGCAAGCGUUAUCCGGAUUCACUGGGUUUAAAGGGUGCGUAGGCGGGUUGGUAAGUCCGUGGUGAAAUCUCCAAGCUUAACUUGGAAACUGCCGUGGAUACUAUCAAUCUUGAAUAUAGUGGAGGUGAGCGGAAUAUGUCAUGUAGCGGUGAAAUGCGCAGAUAUCGGGAAGAACACCCGUGGCGAAGGCGGCUCUCUGGGACGGUACUGACGCUGAGACGCGAAAGCGUGGGGAGCGAACAGG
rnacentral:rRNA from 1 species